UACAGAGGUCCCGAGCGUUGUUCGGAUUCACUGGGCGUAAAGGGUGCGUAGGUGGCGAUGGAAGUUUGAUGUGAAAUCUCCGGGCUUAACCCGAAAAUGGCAUUGGAUACUCUAGCGCUUGAGGUUUGGAGGGGGGACUGGAAUUCUCGGUGUAGCAGUGAAAUGCGUAGAUAUCGGGAGGAACACCAGUGGCGAAGGCGGGUCCCUGGACAACACCUGACACUGAGGCACGAAAGCUAGGGGAGCAAACAGG
rnacentral:rRNA from 1 species